UAAUGCAUAGGAAUCUACCUAGUAGUAUGGGAUAGCCACUAGAAAUGGUGGGUAAUACUGUAUAAUCCCUGCGGGGGAAAGAUUUAUCGCUAUUAGAUGAUCCUAUGUUAGAUUAUCUAGUUGGUAGGGUAAAGGCCUACCAAGGCGAUGAUCUAUAGCUGGUCUGAGAGGAUGAUCAGCCACACUGGAACUGAGAUACGGUCCAGACUCCUACGGGAGGCAGCAGUGGGGAAUAUUGGACAAUGGGCGCAAGCCUGAUCCAGCUAUGCCGCGUGAGUGAAGGAAAGGCCUUAGGGUUGUAAAACUCUUUCAGUAGGGAAAGAAUUAAUGACGGUACCUACAGAAGAAGUCCCGGCAAACUCCGUGCCAGCAGCCGCGGUAAUACGGAAGGGGGCAAGCGUUGUUCGGAAUUAUUGGGCGUAAAGGGCAUGUAGGCGGUUCGGUAAGUUAAAGGU
rnacentral:rRNA from 1 species